CCGCCGAAACGUAAAAAAAAAUAUUUUAGUCAUUUUAUUAACAAGUCCACCUGGAUGCAGAUGAAGUUAAAAAUGAAAAGCAAACGAACAUAGUUGCAUUCAGAUGAUUCAUCUGGAUGCAUAGACGAAAUGAAAAAACGAACAACAUCCAGAUGGAUCAUCUAGAUAAGACACUCAGAUGGACCAUCUGGAUGCAUCUUUGAGAUGUACUAACGAACAUGACCUAUGUCUUUGCCAGAAAACGGCCAAGCCUCAAAAGCUUUCAUCGCAACUAUCUGCAAAAGUCUGCGCUUCUUCCUCUAAACCUCUGCUGCCUCCAUGCCACUUCCGCCUGUACGGCCACCAUCGACAUCACAACAACCUCAAGUAAUGAACAAAACGCCGCCUCCUCCUCUGUUUCAUGAUUUUCUCCGCGUAGACCGUUAGGUAAAGAUAAGUUCCUUUGAGUAAUUUUACAAAACGCCCGACCGGACUAUGGCCUGUGAUAAGCUCAGAACAAGCUUCUUUGAUUUCAGUGGAAGGGUUGUGUUUACAGCACUUGAAGCAUUUGUGAAGAAGAUGCCGACUAAGUAAAGAAGAAGAGUUGAAGUUGUAUAGCUACAAAGUUGUAGUAGAUGAGCUUGACUCUGCUGAGAAAUUUCUCAGGGCCCUUGUGGAGUACCAUUUGCAUUUCAAGAGGCUGAAGCAAUGCUUUAUAGAGAGACGGUUGAAGAUGAAGUGGUUCAUCUUAGAAACUCCUUCUCAAUGCUUGAGGAAGCUUGCACGGAGCUUAAGUCAAGCAGGUUAUUCCUGAAGCUUUUAAAAGUCGUCCUUAGGACUGGGAACAAGAUGAAUGUAGGAACCAUACUUGGUGGCGCAAAAGCCUUCAAGCUCUCCAAUGUUAAGUGCACAUAUGAAAAAACAACUCUAUUCCACUUUGUCGUGAAAGAGAUAUCUAGGUCAAAGGGAAUCAGGGUUUAAGACAGCAUCAUGGCAUGCACCAGAGAUUAAAAAAAAAAAACAGAACAGGGAGAAAGGGGAGGAAUACAAAAAAUAUUAUAACUUACUUCCCUUCGGAAAAUCAAUACUUGAUCGUUUAUGGCGGUUUGUAAAACAAGAAGAUAUAUAAAUUCGUUGGUGAGUAUACGAGUUCAAUGGAAUGGGGGAAAGUUAUUAUGACAAUAUGACAUGUGGUAUCAACAUUUAUUGUUGGGCAAAAUAUCAUUUUAAAAAUUAUAUAUAUAUAUAUAUAUAUAUAUAUAUAUAUAAUCUAUUAGAUUGUACUAAAAGAACAAAUCAUACACUUCUAACUCAAAUGAUGUAUUUUAUGGUACUACUAAGGGUAUUCCGGUCGGACGUUGAUUUAUCUUAUGUAUUUCAUUUGUUUCAUUCUCUUCUGUUAGUUAGUAGUCCAUUUGAGUCUGAAUUAUUAGUUGUUGUCAAUUAAGAUUUGGGGGUGUCCAUGAUGUCAUGUCAAUGAGUUUCUUACUCUUGGUGAAUGAAUUUGAGAAUUUUUUGACUUAUGGGUUAGAUGCAGUUUUUUGGUUUACGUAUGUAUUACCGUUUUUUUAUUUGUUUAAUUUAAGAGUCAGUAGAGUAGUAAUCUAUUUUUUUAACUUUAGGAAAAAAAUAAAGUAAUAAUAUUUUUUAUUCAUGAUAGAAAAAAUGUAAAAUCCAGUUUGUCUUUACAAAGCAAAGGAAACAAUGACAUAUUUUAUUUUGAUGAACCAACAAAUUACUUUCCAAAACACGAAGGAAAAAACAAUCGCAGCAUAUGAACCAUAGCUUACACUUUUCGCUGGUACUGAAGGUCAAGUUUACGCUCCACUUCUUUUCUAGUUUCUUUAUACUUUUCAACCCGGAAUAUUGCAGAGCGAAAGGUUUCAAUCUAUUGCAACAUUUCCGUUUCAGCAACUAAUACUUACUCUUAAUAUCUUCCUGUUACCAGUCGAUCCAAAUUAUCAUUCAGUUAUUAUAUACCAAUCGAAAUACAAACAUUCAAUAAGUAUCUAUUUGCCUCACCUUAACUUCGGUUUGGUGGUCGUUGAUCACCUCAUAUAGUGCACUCUCAGCCAAGCCCUGUUAGGAUUCAGAGGCUUAAAGACAUCACUUUGUCUCAGCAUAAACCCACAACAAACCAAGAUAGAAGUUGCUUGAAGUCCAAAAAUAGAAUGCUGUAAAAAACAUUGUUGUAGAGAGUAUGAAGAAGAGAAUAGAGAGAAGGAUAAGAUGGGAGCACACACACAAUUUAAGGAGUUCGCGCCCGUUAACGAGGGUCACUACAUCUCCCCGAGACUACAGAUCGGAAUCCACUAGAAGGUAUAACAUAGUUACAAAGAUACAAGUGAUUCACUCAUCAUAUCACUCAUGAACUCACUCUAAUGUAUCUUACUUUGUUCUAAUAAGAAAACCCAAAGCUAAGCUUAAGCUCACAUGUUUCUCUCACCCUUCUAAGCUCUUUGUGUGGCUCAAUCUCUCUCUCACGUUCUCAGCCUCCCUUUAUAGUAGAGACAUCUUUAAACCUAAUGCACAAGAGGACAAAAUGGAGAGGCUCCUCCUUGUGGUCCCAAAAGUAACUUAACCCAUCUUCAACUCACCAUACUAACUUGAGUUAAGCCUUGGAUUACUUUUGAUCUUCAUUUGCUUGAUAAACAAGUGUUCUCAUCUUCACAAAUCUCCACCUGAGAACAUGUUGAUCAUCCCAAACAACUUGCACAUACUUGAGAGAGAGAGAGUUUCUUCUUCUAGCUUCUUGGAUUCCUGUCUCGGCUUCUGAGUAUCACUACUCAUCCUUGAUCCUUAGCAGCUUCAAACACCAUGAACCUGCUUGAUCCAUGCAGCAUUCAACAUCUUGUUCAAUGCACAUCAGCUGUGAAAAUUCACCUUGCCGAACCUGAGCCAUCAGAACAUCUACAUGUCACUUGAGUUGUGAAAACCAGCUCUAACACAAAUCUGUAUUAAGCUCAACUCAUCAGUGACUUCUUCUGGCACCUGCAACACCUGAAUAUCUGAUAUAAAGCUCAAUAAAAUCCAGUACCAAGCUUAGGAAAUGUCCAGCUUGUUGCUCCAACAGAAAACUCCAUAAGCUUUAUGACUUAUGACUUCUCCAAUCACACAAUUCCUCCAUGGCUUCUGUCAUAACCAUAAGUAUGUUUCAGUGACUGAGAAAAUACCAAUACCACCUCUGCAAAUCUUGAUUCACUUGCUAGCUUCUAGGAUUUCCUCAUGCGCAUUGAGAUCAAAACCCUUUGAAUUCACUUGAAUCAAAUGCAGAAAUAACAGAAUCAUCUUAGCUUCUAGCUUGAAGCUUCUUGAUUCAACUUGCAGUCAAUCUCACCAAUAGCUUACACUAUCUGAGAUUCACAUCUUCAACCUGUUUAACCAAGCAAUCCCAGAACAGAACCCUGCUCCACCAUCUUGUUAAAACAGAACACACUAACAGCUUGAAAAAACCCACUACUAGCAACCUUGCAUAUGUCUCUUAUCAACAACUUCUUGUGACAUCCCUGAGACGCGUCCAUACAACAGCUUACACAUCAAUUCUAGAACCCUUGAUGUAUUUCAAGCUGUAAAGAACAACCUGCAAUACUUCUUCUUGUAUGCAGCCUCCACCAAAACAAAUCCGGUUCUUGCAUUAUUCAGUUUGCAGUCAUUAACCGACAUUCUUCUUCCUGAAUAUCAUUAACUUUACUGGCCUGCAACUGACUUCCCAUGAGUAGACACUUAUGUAGACUCCUCAUGAUGCAACUAAGACAACUUCAAGCUCCUGAGUUGUUGUCUUUCUAAUGCAGCUUGAUCUCUGCAUUCUUCAUCCUUUUAGGACUUCUUUUUCAGGUUCUGACACUUCACUUGAGAUGAGUUAUCCAUCAGACUUGAUACACAACACUUUCACAUUCUUGAAGUGAGCAUCCUUGACACAUAACCAUGUAUCAUCUGCACUUGUCUACUUCAGUUUCUGCUUUAUAGAACUCACUGAAAAAAACACUUCAGUUGCUUCAUCUCAAAACACAGCAUUGUGUCUUCUCACUGAAAAACUUUCAGAAACCUGCAAUCCACUUGUAGUAACCUGCAACUCUGUUUCUCAGAGUCUGCAAUUCGUUUUUGAUUAUCCUCAUCAACACCCAGCUUCAAAUCAAAUCUGAAAACAAUCUUUUACCAUCAGAUUAUAACCUUUCUUGAGCUGAAUACCCGUUGACACACCAUCAGUUCUGCACUUGCUUUCUUCUUUGCACAGAGAACUUCAAUAAAUCUGAUACAACAGCAAGAUCCUUAGCCCUCUAACUCUUUUAUCUUCAGCUAAACACUUGAGACAACCUCCGAAUAUAACUCCACCAGGAAAACAAAAAAUCAUUUAAGAUAUGCAUUGCUCUUCUUGUAGCAAUAAUACUCCACCUGAAACUAUAACCACUUGGACAUACUCCGUCUCUAUAAUCUCAGCUUUGCAAUCAGAGUUAAAACCACUCUUCCAUGUAUCUUUGAUCCACAAACACGUUCUUAUGUAUCAGAUUGAGUCACCAUGACUUCUUGCUUGAGAAAGUGUGCCAAAACCUGUGACACAUCUUCUUUCUUCUUGCAGCCAUCCCAUCUGAUCCAUUUGCAACCAGAAAACCCUCAAGAACUUUCUUUCUCCCGGCAGCACUGUCUCUUAAAGCAUUCUUCAUGUUGUGAUGAUGUUACAACUUAGGCUGAUACAUCAACAAACCAUCCUUCUAUCCCACAAAUCUGAAAUCUUAUACUCUCUUGUCGCCAAAAAAUACAACCAUACUUGUCUUGUACCGCUGUUGAUAAACAGGACACGCCGCCUAACUCCUCUAGCUAGGAAGACUUUCGAUACCAGAUUGUAUCAUGUUGCAUAAUACAUUCAAAGACACUCCUCAUGAAACAUGAUGUCUCAAAUGCCUUCAGCUUCUAGACCACCGAAAUCUUCUUCAAUCUCUGAAGAACUGAUUCAAGUACAAGAUAAUCUUCUGAGAAAAAACAAUGCUCCACCUGAGAUAAGUACUACUUAUUCACUAAGAUUCAAUCCAGCAGAAAACUCCAUGUGUUACACCAAACACAAAUCUUCUUAAGAAACAUGAAUCUUCGCUACUUCCAUCUUGUCAAGAGCUUACACUACUUGAAACAAGAACUCGAACAAUCCUCUGUAUACACUCAAGCUCACAAGAGCUCAACCUUCAUUGCAUCCCUCUGAAAAUAGCAAUGAAACUGAGUGUUACACCUUAUGUUCACCAUAACAUUUUCAGACCGCAACAAGAGCUUAAUCAUCAUUGCAUUCCCUCUGAAAAUAGCAAUCAUGUAUCUUUAUGUUCUCUGAUGACACACCAACUUUAGACUGUCAUACUACCAAGAACUGAUAGCUAGCACCCUGAGAUAAAACUUGCAGCAAGAAACCCCAUCCAAAACUCAAAAGCUACUGAAAUUGCCGUAAUUGUUUCUGCCUUUGACAAACAGAAAACAUGCCCUGCUCCAUAACCAUUCUGCAUCCUCCUUUAAACUGGCCCAAGAAUAUCCUUACAGAUACUCACACAGCCAUAAAACACUCAUCAAAUCCAAGGUAUUAGACGUCCCUGAAUUUUCAGAGUUUCCGGGCUGGAAACAGAUAGCUAAAACACCACUUGCAGCUGACUUCUACAAACUGAUUCAACCAAAGAAUACCCUGAAAACCAUCACUGAAUCUUGGCCAAUCCCAUGCAAAACCAGUACAAAAUCACUGUGUUCAAACAAGCUUCCAAUCCCAACAGAUAAGCAGAACUUGAGCAACUUGAAACUUCAAUACAAAAGCAUCACAAAUGCUUUGUGACUGCAGCAGCGGAAUCAGACAUUGAGUCUCCCAAAACUUGAGUCUUGAAAUUGAUGUUCGGUUUUGAUAUAAGCCAUUGAGUCACAGAACGUGUACUCAUCUUUUUAUAACCCCAAAACCAGCUGAUAUCUCUGAAAUACCUUCAGCUUACUCCAAUCUUCAAUCGGUUUCUUCAGCAUUGACCAAGAACUCUCUUCUUGUAUCAUGUGCUUCUUGCUUCUAUCUCUGAUGUUUUUUCUUCUGCUUGCUACAUUUCAGCUUGUGAGAAUUUUGUCAUCCUUCUCACAGUGUCGCAGCUUCUUGUAUCUUAGAGGUCUCUUGAUUUCAUAGCCCUUGAAAUCACCUCAACUGAUUCACACUUUCACCAUGAAUCACUCCUUAAGAUACAACUUGUUCACAUCCCAUCUUCACACUAUAACCUGAGCUAAACCGGUUUUAUAACCACUAAAGCUUCUCAAGAACCUUAUAUUACUCCACCUAAGAUCUGCAUGGAUCCUUAAAUGAGUAGAGAUAACCUCUUGCCAAAGCUGUCUCUGUUUCUGAAACAGAAAACUGCAUUUUUAACAGAAAAAAUCUGCAACUUCUUUGGUUCUUCUUGUUCUUCAAGAUGUGUGAAUGAGAUGCUUCCAUGUACACCAGAAUGAGCCUUAUAACUCCUUCCUCUCACGUGCUGUUCACCAAUAGACAGCUUGUCUUUCAGCCUGAGACAUUCAAGUCUCCAUACAUUCCUCAAAACCUGAGAAAUACCAUGAUGCUUCACCAAGAAAGAGUCUUAUGGCUUCUUCCUCUCUUUAGCAUCAUUUACCAAGAGCUACUGCUUUGUUGUUCCUCCUGAGACAUCACUUUUCUCUACAAAACCAGCUCUCCAAGAAAAGGACGUGGCUUCGUAACAG